rnacentral:rRNA from 1 species
UACGUAGGUGGCAAGCGAUACUCGGAAUCACUAGGCGUAAAGCGCAGGUAGGCGGUUUGGUAAGUCUCUUGUGAAAGCUCCCGGCUUAACUGGGAGAGGUCAAGGGAAACUACCAGGCUAGAGUGCGGAAGAGGAAACUGGAAUUCCCGGUGUAGCGGUGAAAUGCGCAGAUAUCAGGAAGAACACCCGUGGCGAAGGCGGCUCUCUGGGACGGUACUGACGCUGAGACGCGAAAGCGUGGGGAGCAAACGGG